AAAUUGAAGAGUUUGAUCAUGGCUCAGAUUGAACGCUGGCGGCAGGCCUAACACAUGCAAGUCGAACGGUAACAGGAAGAAGCUUGCUUCUUUGCUGACGAGUGGCGGACGGGUGAGUAAUGUCUGGGAAACUGCCUGAUGGAGGGGGAUAACUACUGGAAACGGUAGCUAAUACCGCAUAACGUCGCAAGACCAAAGAGGGGGACCUUCGGGCCUCUUGCCAUCGGAUGUGCCCAGAUGGGAUUAGCUAGUAGGUGGGGUAACGGCUCACCUAGGCGACGAUCCCUAGCUGGUCUGAGAGGAUGACCAGCCACACUGGAACUGAGACACGGUCCAGACUCCUACGGGAGGCAGCAGUGGGGAAUAUUGCACAAUGGGCGCAAGCCUGAUGCAGCCAUGCCGCGUGUAUGAAGAAGGCCUUCGGGUUGUAAAGUACUUUCAGCGGGGAGGAAGGGAGUAAAGUUAAUACCUUUGCUCAUUGACGUUACCCGCAGAAGAAGCACCGGCUAACUCCGUGCCAGCAGCCGCGGUAAUACGGAGGGUGCAAGCGUUAAUCGGAAUUACUGGGCGUAAAGCGCACGCAGGCGGUUUGUUAAGUCAGAUGUGAAAUCCCCGGGCUCAACCUGGGAACUGCAUCUGAUACUGGCAAGCUUGAGU
rnacentral:rRNA from 1 species